GACGAACGCUGGCGGCGUGCUUAACACAUGCAAGUCGAGCGGUAAGGCCCUUUCGGGGGUACACGAGCGGCGAACGGGUGAGUAACACGUGGGUGACCUGCCCUCAGCUCUGGGAUAAGCCUGGGAAACCGGGUCUAAUACUGGAUAUGACUCCAUGACGCAUGUUGGUGGGGUGGAAAGCCUUGUGCGGCUGAGGAUGGGCCCGCGGCCUAUCAGCUUGUUGGUGGGGUGANGG
rnacentral:rRNA from 1 species